UGGUCCAAUAAGCAAACCGAUCGCGCACAUUUAAUUAAUUAUAAUAUUUUUUCGGUCGCAUAUUAACAAAAACGCGUAAAUUAAACACGCGUUAAUCAAGAGUUACCUGCAUUUCCUUUUACUUUUGAUACAUUUUUUCUGAACUAAGGAUGAAACGACUUGAUUCACACCGUAAGAAAUGAAAAAAAACCAAUAUUCUUCAUUUGUAAACCAUAAUUGCCCUGUACCUCAUCAUUUGUCUCUCUCGGAGUUAAGAAUAUCUUCCUUAUGGAACCCAAAGUCUUAUUUAUAUAUGCCUAACCUAAUUAUUUCACCUAGAGAGAGAGAGAGAGAGAGAGGCUGUCAUGAAUAAUCUCGCACAAUUUGUUUUCCAUGCACAAAUAAGCGAGAAAUGUGAAAACUUAGUCCUGCUCAUGUCAGUUAUCCACCCCAAACCUGUCUGUUUGUGUGUGUGUGUGUGUGUGUGUGUGUGUGUGUGUGUGUGUGUGUGUGUGUGUGUGGCCUUUGGGAGACGUUGCCUGUCUUUCACGUCACAGAAGUAGAGUUUUGUCCCAGUGGCUUGGUUUGUACUUUGAAACACUUUGAUCUCUCACCACAACAAUUUUCAAAGGCCAUAGAGGUUAUUUUUUUGUCUUUUUCUUUUACUUUUUUUUUUAUGUAAGAAGGAAAAUCUGGCCAAGGACAGCAAAAAUUAUUAAACAAAAAGUCCACACUUAGAUGCAAGUCCCUGAGCAGUUCUGAGAGAGUUGGCUGGGUUCUACUGUUAGUAGUAUCAAAAUUGUGAUAAUCUGUCACCAGAAGAUUUUUGAAAGUUUCUUAAAAACUUGUUAAAAUAAUUUUAUAAUGCUGAAAAUUUGCUUCUUUUUUCCUUUGUUAUAUAUUGGAGGGCAACAUAUAAUGUGAUUAAAUAAAAAGGUCCACUGAGGUGCUGGUCCACUAACAUGGUCAAAAUAGUCAGCCAAAACUAUAGGGUAAAUAUCUUGAAACCUCCCUUUUAAAGGAGUUCAAGUCAUAGCAAGGUGAAAAUACAGAAGCAUGCAACAUCACUGUUAAUUGAUUUAUAAAUACAAUGACUGCAUAACACAGCAGAUAUAGAAUGAUGAAAAAAGAAACAUGAGAUGAAGAUUAUAUUUAAAACUCAUCAAAAUCAUGUUAAUCUGUCACUGGAAUAUUAGAAACAUACUUAAAAACAAAUAUAUCAAAUCUUCAACCAGAGCCUUUGAAAAGUAGUGGAGGUGUGGCGUGGAAGUGUCUCGGAAUACAAGCCUGUGUCUGGUCCACCUGUCUGGUCCGUGUGUGGCCGGCAUGACCUGUGAUGGCAGUUCUAUACCAAAUGAACCAUGAUCUCCACAGGGGGUCUGCCGUGGAGGUGGUGGCCCAGUGGUACUUGUGAUAGCCUGGUGUGCAGUGUGAGGGGCACCACCACUACCAUCACCACCACCACCAGUCCCCCUGUGUCUUGUGAGAGGAGCACCCACUCCACCAGUCAGCCUACACACCACCAGUUACUGACACCCACAGUUGAGACAUGCGUUCCUUGGCCUGUACAGUUGUCGCUGCUCUGAUGCAACAUCCACAUGAUAUUUGCUACUCGGAAACUUAUCUUUUGUAAUAGUUUUGUCAUGAGAGGUUAUCAAUAAGUCAUUACAGUCACAGUUAGUCUGGUGUCGCAAGAUUCACGCUGAUGGUGUUCAGAAAAUGUCUUCUUUAAUAGUUUUGUUAGGUUUUGCUAUUGAGAAAUGUUAAUAAGCUAUUACAGUUGUUGUUAGUUUGGCAUUAGAUUUACAUUAAUUCUAUUCAGAAAAUGUAUUUUUUAGUUUUUUUAUAUAUAUUUUUUUAUUUCAUAAAUUACUAAUAAACCAUUACAUUAAAUUAAUGGUGAUGCAACAAAUUUAAUUUAGAGUUUUGAUGUUUUUCCCUAUUAUUAAGAAAUCAGUACUAACGCAUUAUAUUUAUCUCAAAGUUGGUACUUCUAAUUUCACACAAAAUUUUUUUAUGGUUUUGUUGAGUUUUGUCAUACAAGAAAUCACUAAUAAAAUCAUCACAUUUAUGUCAAGCUUAUUUUUUUAAAGAUUUUAUUAAGCUCCAUCAUAAUUCACAGAUUUGUUUGAAUUUUGAUGAUCUAUACACAAGAAAUCACUGCAAACUAAUUUAUUGCAAGUUUUGUUACAAAUCUGGGAUAGAAAUCCAUCACAGAAACUUAUUUUUCCAUUAUUUUAUUUUAGAAUAAUAGUAAUCCACAGUGUAGAUUUUUAUAACCCAUUCUAGGAAUCACUGGAAACUAAUCUGUCACAAGUCUUGUUAUGAGUUUUGGUAAAGAAGUGCAUGUCUUAUUAUGAGUUUUGGUAAAGAAGUGCAUCACAAACCAAUUUUUUCCAUAAUUAUACUAAGUUCCAUUGUAGGUGAAUGAGUCAGCAUUAUGACAAACUAUACAGGCAAAGGAGUGACCAUGACAAAUCAGUGUGUCCCCUAAGAGACACACAGCUAACCAUUUACUGACCUAGACACAUUUACUGCAUUCUCACAUUACCCACACUGAUCUGUAGAGUAAAGAGUAAAAUUCAUGUUAGGCGCAGCAGCUGUUGGGUCUGGGUGUCUCACAACUGGCCUUAUGUAGUGACAGGAGGCUCUGGGCACUUGUUUCUCCUUUCGUUGGGUAUUCACUUGAGUUUCUUCGCUUGUGUGACUGUUGGCGUUCCGGCAACACUAGGGAGGCUUGGAGGAGUGGCCGAGGCAGUGUGAGGUUUGUCCGUGCUUGUUGAGACUUUAAAUCACCCAUAAGUGCUGUUCAGUUUUGCCUUCAGCCCAGCAUGUGAUUGUGUCAGUGAUGAACUCUUGAAUCAUCAUUCUGUGUCUCGGCAAGCUGCCCUGGCCACCCCACAGCCUCCCGGACACUGUAUUGCCCCGAGUGGACGCUGGCAGCUGCUCUCCUCCCAACCUGAGUGUUUCACCUGCCAGAUUAAUGUGAUAAUAGUAGAGUUUUGUACUGAUGCCACAGUCAAGGCCACUGGAGCCCUGGGAGUUGUGCACAGUGCUGUGUGUGCUGUGUGCUGCGUCCUGGUGCUGUGGUCUUGUGCCAUGCCAGCGCCGUCACUGAUCCGCGGCACUGAGGCAUGGUGGGUGCCGUGUAUGGUGCGAGUGUGUCAGAAGGGAGGCUGGCAGCUGAAAAAGUUCCUUCUGUUCAUAUGGUGUCAUAAGGAAUACUUCUUUCUGUACAUACAUACAUACAUACUUGCAUAUGUAAGUGUUUCGUAAGUGUCUUUUUCGGGAAUCAGUUUCCGUCUUUCAGUUCCAAUACGCUUUUAUUUUCUGGAGUUCUUUUUUAUCAUAUGGUGGUCGCAAAGAGAAACGUGUCAGUGGGUGCCGUGUUGUGGCUGGCACGACGUGUUGGCCAGGAUAGAAAUGAGUCAGCAUUAUGUCACUUGAAAACCACAAACAUGUGCUAAUACUUACUAUUAGUGCCACACACCACAAGAGGCAAGGCACAAGUGUUACAGCCAUGCAGACAGACAAGCAGUGGUGUGUGGGUGCAGGAAGACACUGUGUCACUGUAAUCCUUUGCUGUUUGAGGUGCACAGUAUUACUGACCCUGAAAACUUGAGAGACUUAAACGUGUGUGCGAAUGUCCUAGAUCUGAGAAUUGAAUGUGGUACUGUGACUUUGGUGCCCCAGUGACCCUGUGUACUGUACCUGUGUUCCAAGGGUGAGCCAGCAACACUGUGACGCGCUGUGCUGCUGGUGAGGUCCGCCCCUGGUGCUGGACAUACAUACGCACACACAUUUCAGGCUUCGCUGGGUAUAGGUCAUUAUGCCACAGACUCCAUUGUUUCUUUAAUUUAAUGGUGUGAUGCUACAGACAGUCCCGAUGAAUUUGUAUUUACUGAUAUUUGUUUUCAUUUUUACUCUCUCCUUUGUACGUAGCUGAAUGUAGUCAGAUUUUAUUUAUUAAUCUAAAUUAUGAAUGUUAGUUUUAUUAUUUAUUGGGUGAAGUGUCGGCAACAAGGGUGUGUCACUGCUGGAUGUGUCCCGUGCCCCGCCAUGAAAUUUCACUAUACAGUCCUCAGCUGAGCCUUCACCAGGCUGCCAAAACACCCUCAGAGCAGCGCAUGCCAUCCCUCGCCUUGGGAUGGCCACGCUCUCCUGCUCCCCGGCUCACUCUGGCGCCAGACACCCAGAGCACAUGUCCAACUCUUGACUGAGCUGCUGUCCUGCCCUCCACUGCCCUGCCAACAAUACGUUCCUUCAUUCGCUGACAAUCUUAGAGGAUGUGACAAUGGAGAAUGCUUCAGCUUCAUGGACUUGGAACUGGAAGGGCUGGACAGUGGAAGUGAGCACAGCAGGUUAGGUGACUGAUAACCACAACUGUUCUCUACACAGAACAAUAGGACAGCCACACACUGUCAUCCUCCAAACCUGACACAAACACUGCAGAGUCCUGGCCAGCAUCACCUCACUAAGGCCUGUAUUCUCAAACACUUCUCGCCAAACCUCCUCUACUUUCCAAAGGCUCUUGUUGAAGUGACAUGAGUUUUUAAGGGUGUUUUCAUGUUAGUGGUGGCAGAUUAACAAGAUUUCUGCACUAUUAACAGUUGAAACACUCCUGAGAACCUGGUGGCCUUUAGAAAAUAGUUGUGGUGAGAGUAGUGCUGAGCUUCACUGUCAAACUAAAGAGC